CAGCCGCCGCGGGAAUACGAAGGGUGCAAGCGUUACUCGGAAUUACUGGGCGUAAAGCGUGCGUAGGUGGUGGUUUAAGUCCGUUGUGAAAGCCCUGGGCUCAACCUGGGAAUUGCAGUGGAUACUGGGUCACUAGAGUGUGGUAGAGGAUAGUGGAAUUUCCGGUGUAGCAGUGAAAUGCGUAGAGAUCGGAAGGAACAUCUGUGGCGAAGGCGACUAUCUGGGCCAACACUGACACUGAGGCACGAAAGCGUGGGGAGCAAACAGGAUUAGAUACCCCAGUAGUGCCUGUCUCUUAUAU
rnacentral:rRNA from 1 species